ensembl:lncRNA
CAGUCUCCUUGUUCCCGGCACUCCACGAAGGCACCCGUAAUCACCACUGAUCCUGAGCACCUGCACCAGUCUACACACCUGGGGGGCUGAUUGCCACUCUACCUAUAAAUAGGAGAGUUCUGCUUUCAGUCCCUGCCGGAUUAUUGUACAGCCACCCCCUUUUUCCGAGACCCGUCCUGUACCUCCCUCCCAACCACCUUUCUGCCUUCCUGUUAUCGACCUUCGCCUGGACUGACUCCCCGCUCUGUUGACCGAACCCUGCCUGAUCUUCUGACUAUUCUUACCUCUCGGACUUCGUACCACUGCUACCCACUAUCCACCCUCCAACAAUACAUUCAUACCCACCUAUGUAAUUUUUACGUAUCUCCACUAUCAUCUCAGACUACUACGAUAAACAUCAUCAUUGUCCUUUUACCCCGGUGUCUGUAUCUGCUUCUGGAUCCUACCUCUGUCCUGAGUCCCGGGAGUCGUGACAGUUUGACGCAAUCUACCUCAUCUUAUCACGGCUGCUCUACAAACUCCAUGACCUGGAGAUCAGCCACUCCCUCUGCAACUGGACUUUGGACUUCCUAACCAACAGACACCACCUGUCAGGUUAGACAACUUCACCUCCUCCACCCUGAUCCUGAACACUGGUGUUCCACAAGGCUGCAUGCUGAGCCCCCUCCUGUACUCCCACUAUUGCCAUGGCACUGAAGUGGAGCAUGUGUCCAGCUACAAAUUCCCGGGUGUCCACAUCUCAGAGGACUACUCCUGGACCCUCAAAACCUCAACACUGGUCAAAAAGGCACAGCAGCGCCUGUACUUUUUGAGUAGGUUGAAGAAGCCCCGUCUGUCUUCCCAGAUCCUUAUGAACUUCUACUGCUGCACAAUCAAGAGCAUUCUGACUAACUGUGCCACGUGUGGUUUGACGGAUGCUCCAUGGCUGACUGGAAGGCCCUGCAGCGUGUGGUGAAAACCAUACUCACCCACCCAUCGCUUAGUACAGCCUCUCAGGGACCUUUUUGCACUACUCCCUUGUACUACUGGACUCUGACACUGCCUUGCAAUGUCUGAUAAUUUUCAGUUGUUCCAUGUAUGUGUCUACCUCAUGAACCUCAUUGCUGCUAUCCCUGCAUUUCAGUUGCACAUACUACCUUACGUCUCCAACUAGCUCGAUUGCACAGUCAGAAUUGUCAUUUGCACUUGUAUUUGCCUCAUCACACAACUAUU